CAUGAAGCUGGAAUCGCUAGUAAUCGCGAAUCAGAAUGUCGCGGUGAAUACGUUCCCGGGUCUUGUACACACCGCCCGUCACACCAUGGGAGUCGGAAAUGCCCGAAGUCAGUGACCCAACCGUAAGGAGGGAGCUGCCGAAGGUGGAGCCGGUAACUGGGGUGAAGUCGUAACAAGGUAAC
rnacentral:rRNA from 1 species